CUCCAGGAAUAUUUUGGUCAUAAAAUCUUCGUCGGGAUGAACAAGUUUAUUCGCUGUACCAAGUCAAAACUUGAACGUCGCAACGGAAGGCAGGAUCAAGUUGGAGCCUGCAGUCGACAGGAACAGGAACUGUCUGGACUGCACAUCACGGACUUGCCGCCAGAGGCGCUGGCUCUUGGGAGAACCCCUGAUUGAGAACUAAAGUGGCGACGUCGCAGAAUCGUCUAGCCAAGAAAUCGUAAGGGCAAAGUUCGAAAAUGCGAGCCAGCGCCUCUGGCGGCAAGUCCGUGAUGUGCAGUCCAGACAGUUCCUGUUCCUGAACACGAACAGGAAUGUUCGAGGAAUGCACCACUUCCAUCUUCAGCCCUGAAAUGCACUUCAAGGCAAGAUUAUUCAGUCUCAGAAUCCAGAAGACCACAAAGGACAGGAAAUUGUUGAAAACUGAGUGACGCACAAAACAUGAUCACAGAAGAAGAGAAACAACGCUCUUCUGUUGUGUGCUGUUUGCCUAAUUCUAAGCCAAUCAGAAAAGAGUUGCUAGCAAACUUUUGCAAUUCAUCCUUCCCAGAAAUUAACUGUUACAGUUCUGGUUAAAACAAUAAUAAACUUUCAUCUUCCAUGAAAGGUAGGAAUUUCUUAACCAGUUUCUCAAGGCAGACUUUGCUCCAUGGAGUUAGAAACUGUACUCGCCCUUAUCUAGUGGCAAGAUCACAGCUUUUCAUCUGAAAAUGGUGUUUUAGAAAUUUGAUUAAUUUUAUAAGAAUUCACUUGUCUCUACAUGUGGCCGGGAUGGAAUAAACUUCCAAGCGUAAUACUCGUGAGGUAAACAGGUUCAACAAAAUGUCAUCUUAGCUUCAAUACAAACCUAGCAUCUCCACAGGGUGCAGCAUUGAUGUAUUAUAAAUGAAAUUUUACGUCAUCCUUCAACUUGUAACCUUUCUCAUUACCUCGACGUACAAAAAAUGGAAUCUUUUGCUGUUUCUUAAAUUAUAAAAAAAGAAAAUGUUACAGUUUCUGUCAAAACAGCACAUGAUCAACUAGACUUUGAUAUGCAU